CAUCUUACAGCCUUUUGGCCUUGUCUUUGCCCAUGUAUUCCUUUCUCACUGGAGACUGAACCCCCUGGGGGCAGAGGCCACAUCUUACUCAGAUCCACCUUGCUGAUGUUGCACAUAAUGCCAUUUCUGAGUAUUUGCUAACAUUCAGAGAGCUCUCCAUACCAUGCAACAUCUCAAGUUUCUCUGGAGCGCUUAAUGUCAGGCCGGGCUGUGUGACAGGAGAUCAGAGCCUGACCUGCAGACCUGCUGGGAAUUCUUACUCGGGGAAAACCCAGGAACAAGGACUCAAUAUCAAGAGGUCCACUAUCAACUUAAGUCCUAGUAAUAAGCAGAAUGAUUCAGAUGGUACCCUGACUUCAGCUUCAGGUGCACAUAGCGAGCUCAUAUGGAAUCCUCUUUGGAAGCCCUCUCUCUACGCCUGAGGUGAAGAGAAAGCACCAUCCCCUCUGUCCUUGGAGUGGCGGGGAGACUCCCAGUACUGCUUGUGUCCUAAUUUUCAAUUCCUCCUUUGGCUGCUCCAAUUUAACUGUUUUAUACCUCUGAGUAAAUGAGGGACCAAAGAUAGUGAAUCAGAUUUUUGGACACGUGAUUUGCAAGUCUUCUGUGAGGCAACCAGUUUCUCCCUUGGGGGUUAAGGGUGUCAUGACAGCUGGGGCGUCUGGGUGGCUCAUUUGGUAAAGUAUCUGCCUUCAGCUCAGGUCAUGGUCCCAGGGUCUUGGGAUCAAGCCCCUUGCUGGGCUCCCUGCUCAGCAGGAGU